GGGUGGAGAUGUUGAAUGGGCACAAUGAGCACAGACUCUACUUCCUUCAGUGUAAAGCAACCUCUGUUGAAAAGUGGUUACCCUUUAAACUACUUUAAAAGGCAAAUCACUGAGCCACCGGUGUCUCCAAGACAGAUGAACGAGCAUUAGUAACUUACAAGUAUCUCAUUUGGUGUUUCAAGACAAGUAACUAUAGAAAAACCAGAGAAAGAGCUGUUACAGGUUCCUGGAACGUUUGCCUGGGAAGGUAUCUUAACAAUUUCCUAAUUCAGGUCUUCAUUUUUCCAGUGGAGGAAAGCGAAGUGUACGAGGUGUGCAAUUUGCCCAAUGGCCCUGCAAUUAAUCCAGGAGCCCCGAGGUGACACCAGGAACCAACUGGAGCAGCUCCGGGAUGCCUGAGUCCACCACCCCUGUCCACCUCUACUCCUUUCUUCAAAAAAACAAUUUUUUUUUUUUUUAUGUUGGGGACUGGAUUUUGGAAGACACGAAUUCCAGACAGUUAACUGUCUUUGCCUGAUUAUAAAUAUUAAUGAUUCUUGUCAACUCUCUGCCUGCUUCUCUCCAAUUUUUAAAGUUGGCAGUCAGAACGUCCAGUCUCAACAGUGCAAAUCAAUUCAAGGAAAACUCAGUAAAUUAGCAGAUGACAGAACAACUGCAGUGUCUCAUCUCAAAACGACACAUCUCACACGUGGAAAAUCAAUGUCUGAAGACUGGAAUAAGGGAUAUGGAGAUAGAAGAAAUCUAAGGAAGAAUGAAGGUUCUCAUUCCUUUUUCCAGUUGCACAGUGUUUCAGUUGUCUAAAGCCUGCAGAAUUCCCAUGACAACGCCAACACCGCAGGUGCUAGAAUUAUUGUUUGAAAUGGUAACAAUUCCACUAUUCAUUAAGCACCUACAUCACAGGCUCAACUAGAUGCUUUGCAAACAUCUGGAUCCUCAGAACAACUGGGAAGGAAAGUCAUUCCAGUAUGUUUCAAGGUGGAGAUUCUUUUUGACAAAUCAGGCCCAUUCAUUAGAUUGCUGGUGUCCCAUCCACACCUCCUAGGCCAGUGAUUCUCAACAGGGGAAAUUUUGCCACUGAGGAGAAACUUGGCAAUAUCUGAAGCUAUCUUUGGCUGCCACAACUGCAGGGGAAGGGUGUCACUUGCAUCCAGUGGGUGGAGACCAGAGAUGCUGCUAAACAUCCUGCACUGCACAGGACGGCCUUCACAACAAAGAAAGUUCUGGUCCCAAAUGUCUAGAGUGCCAAGGCGGAGAAAUCUUUCACAGACAUAAGGAAUUCAUCCUUUAAUAAUUUCCACUUAGCAGUACCUCUCACACCAACAACACAUUUUCUUUCAGUGAAGUAGGUCUUGCACCACCCAAGAAAACAAAGAGAAAGUUCUCCAGAGCAGAAGAGUAGAGCUGAGCCCUGGGUCUCCACCCAUCGUUGAAGACCCAUACACAAGUGGGUCUCCACGCAACACUGUGUGUUGUUAAAAGGCUAACAGACUGGGUAAAAAUUGGCCAUCUGUGUGAUCAAAACUGACCACUCUGGAGUUCUUUGGAGUGCUUGACUAGUCACCCCCCUAAAAAAACCACUUUUAUAACCUCAAGAAACCCCUGGCUUCAGAGGCUCAGGAGUAGGAUGAAUGAUGACACCUGGCAUUACUCUGGUGCCUGCAGGUUUCAAAGCAAUUUUGCAUAUAUUGGUUUCCCUCCCCUCCCCCCGCCAACUAAUCUAUCUUGUGAUAAUGAUAGGGAGCAGAACAUAUAAGGCAAAUGUUAAGAAUUCGUUGUCAGGAGUGUAAUAAAAUGAGGAGAAUAAAACAGAAUGUCCUUCUCCUGCCAAGUCACUUAAACUGUCUGUAUCCCAUUAAUCCAGCAAAUAGAGAGGAUGAGCCAGGGAGUUCCAGAUCCCCCAGGAAUGCUUGGUACAUAAAGGUCAAGAACCAACAGUUUAGCAGGGCCUUCUUUGCCUUGCUGUGCAGUAAGAACCAACCGAAGAAAACUGCUCCAAGCCUAAUUUCUUGAUUAUUUUCUUUGGGGACCAUGCCUUAUGAAGGUGGUUCUCAGCCAGGGGCAGAUUUGCCCCUUAGGGUGCAUUUGACAAUAUCUGGAGGCAUAUCUGGUUGCUGUAACUUGGAGGGAGGGGGAGAUGCUACUGGUAUCUACUAGGUAGAGGCCAGAUAUGCUGCUCAACUUCCUACAAUGCACAGGACAGCCUCCCACACACAAGGCAAAGAAUGAUCUGGUCCCAAAUGUCAAUAGUACCAAGGUUAAGAAACCCUACUUUAUGGUUAAAAUUGUUAUGGUCAAAAUAAUUCUAAUAAAUCAGAAUCUAAGCAUCAGACUGGGACUUUUUUCAUUAUUUCAACUUUAGUUGUCUUCCUUCAUGUCCUUGCACACAGCACAGAUGAAAAGAUAUUACCUGGAAAGAUAAUAAGAUUUCUUCUCCCUUUCAGUGGAAUACAGAACAAGAGGAAGAGGGACCAGAAGG
rnacentral:lncRNA from 1 species